AUUGAACGCUGGCGGCAGGCCUAACACAUGCAAGUCGAACGAGUGGCGCACGGGUGAGUAAUGUCUGGGAAACUGCCCGAUGGAGGGGGAUAACUACUGGAACCAGUAGCUAAUACCGCAUACCAUCUUAUGUACCCAGAUGGGAUUAGCUAGUAGGGGGGUUAACGGCUCCCCUAGGCGACGAUCCCUAGCUGGUCUGCGAGGAUGACCAGCCACACUGGAACUGAGACACGGUCCAGACUCCUACGGGAGGCAGCAGGGGGGAAUAUUGCAAAAUGGGUGCAAGCCUGAUGCAGCCAUGCCGCGUGUAUGAAGAAGGCCUGCGGGUUGUAAAGUACUUUCAGCGAGGAGGCGUUACUCGAAGAAGAAGCACCGGCUAACUCCGUGCCAGCAGCCGCGGUAAUUC
rnacentral:rRNA from 1 species